AGUUCUAUAUUCAAUAAUGAUAACAGAAUGCAAUUCUGUAGGGGUAGGGAACUACUAGAACUU
rnacentral:tRNA from 1 species